UCUCUUGGAGGGUUCCAAGUAACCUCUGCCCUAUGAAUAAUUUAAAUGGCCGCAGUACUUUGACUGUGCAAAGGUAGCAUAAUCACUUGUCUUUUAAUUGGAGGCUGGAAUGAAAGAGGCGACGAGAUUUAGGCUUUUAGGUUGUAGUGUGAAAUUGACAUAAAGUUAAAAAGGUCUUUAUGAAUCAAAGGGACGAUAAGACCCUGUAAAACUUUACUAUAAAUUAAAUUGUAUAGCCAAAUUUAAACAUUUAUAGUUUAGCUGGGGCGGCUUAUAUAAAAACAAUUAUAAUAUAAAUAUAAUUAAUAAAAGUUUAGAACUCCUGUGGGAAAUAAAUAAGUUACUUUAGGGAUAACAGCAUAAUUCUCCCAGAGAGUCCUUAUUGGCGGGAGAGCUUAUGACCUCGAUGUUGAAUUGGGAUGUCUAGUA
rnacentral:rRNA from 1 species